UAUUUUCAAUGUGUGAAAUUUGAAUUCCCCAUUCCUUCCUCGGCAAGCCUUCACACAUUGGUUUACUCUAACUACCGAACUUCCCAGCCACAUUAAAUUGGAGCGUGUUUUCUAUGCAUCACUCUCUACCCUCUGUUUCUCCAAGGCCUUCAUCCCGUAUCCAGUCUCUCUUCUCUCUCGCACCGCUUCUCGGACUUUCUUCCUAAGUGACAGAAUCUUCAUCCACCGGACUACCACCUUUCCACCAUGGUUUAGAUUUUGGAGGAAAGGGGAAAUUUCACAAUGGGUUGAAGUUCUUAUGGUAGAUGAUUUUAAAAAGGGGGAAAUUUCUCUGGCACCUGCAUCGUAAUGAAUUUUGGAGACCAUUUCUCUGAUUUGCGGUGGCCGAUCCAUUUUGGUGACGAUUUGAUUUCGACGAUUGAGGUUUGAAAGGUUUUUAAUGUGGAGAUCGCAUGUGUUCUGCUGCUCUUUCAUUUGCGUAUUAGCUUUGGCAAAUUCUCAUGAGAACAAGCAACAACCAAUGAAUGCGCAAGACAUAAGCUACAAAAGAACUAAACUUUGUGAGGGACUUUUUGUUUGUGGAUGUCGGUGUAUGUUAUGCUGCGCUGUGUGGUUUGUUCAUGUAAUUUUUUUUUCUGUGCUGCUACUUCAAUUUCAAUUCUGCCUUUGGUGUUUCUGUUUAGCCGUUUACGAUAGACUUUGUCUAUUCAAUUUUACUAUUUGCCUAAUCGUUGUUGCAUGUUUGAAUCCAUGACCCUCUUCUUUAGGGACCAUUUGUUUUAUUUUGAUUCACAUCAUCUUAAAAUUACUUAUAUCUUUUCUUUUUAUCACCCUGUCUAAAACUUCUUUGUUUGGCCUUUUUAUGGAUUUGCAUUUGCGAGAAUUUAAGCCCCUGGUUUGGGUUUUUUGCUGACUAUUUUUCCUGGAUUAUGUGAUUAACGGAGCUUAACCCUGAAAGGAGAAUGGCAAGGGACUGCUGUGCGCUUUUGCUUUUGCUGUUGAGUUUUCUGCAUCUGUUUAAUGGGUUAACAAAGUUUUAGUUAAAUAUUGGGGAUGCUUGGUGGUGUUGUAGGGUUGGACUAUUUGGAAUUUUUCCAAUUUUUUCCAGCAGCUUAGCUUUGGUUCUGGAUGUGAAGACCGGCAAGUGUCGAGUUUUUGAGUCUAUCUUUGUUACUUAGUUUGUGGAUCUGCUGCAGGAGGGUGUUCUUGAGAAUCAUUUUUGCAGUACUUUCAUUAAUUGCAAGUAAUGUAAUAAACUAUAUAUGACCCGUGCGGCAGCACGGGUAGACGACCUAGUUUUUUUGAAAAUUAAAAAGUAUUUGUGAUCCUAUAACAUUAAAGAAGACCAUUUUUUUUUAAAUUACCUCCAAACAUGAAAUGUACAAAAUAAACUAUCAUCCUCAUCAAUAAUUGAAAUACAUCAUUCAGCUUUUACA